GAUUAGAUACCCCACUAUGCUCGGCCCUAAACUUAGAUAGAAAAUUACAUACUAUCCGCCAGAGAACUACAAGCGAAAAGCUUAAAACUCCAAGGACUUGGCGGUGCCCCAUAUCAUCCUAGAGGAGCCUGUCCUAUAAUCGAUACCCCACGUUCUACCUCACCAUUUUUUGCCAAACAGUUUAUAUACCGCCGUCGUUCAGCCAACCCCAUGAGGGAAAUAAAAGUUAGCGGAAUGGUCCGACACCAACACGUCAGGUCAAGGUGUAACACAUAAAAUGGCAGAGAUGGGCUACACUCUCUUUAAAAGAAGAUACGAAUAGCGUAAUGAAACCAACACUUAAAGGCGGAUUUAGCAGUAAAAUUGGCCAGAAAACCAACCUUAAACAAGCCCUGGGGCGCGCACACACCGCCCGUCACCCUCAUCAACACCAACCACACAUAUAAAUAAUACAAGACUGAGACAACAGAUGAGGCAAGUCGUAACAUGGUAAGCGCACUGGAAAGUGUGCUUGGAAUA
rnacentral:rRNA from 1 species